rnacentral:rRNA from 1 species
AGGACGAACGCUGGCGGCGUGCCUAACACAUGCAAGUGGAGCGACGAACCGGGCUUCGGCCCGGGGCAAAGCCGCGAACGGGUGAGUAACACGUGGGCAACCCACCCUUGGUACCGGGAUAGCCCGAGGAAACUCGGAUUAAUACCGGAUGGCCCAGCAGCUCUUCGGGGCGGCUGGAAAAGGUAGCUUCGGCCUCCGACCAAGGACGGGCCCGCGGCGGAUUAGCUUGUUGGUGAGGUAACGGCUCACCAAGGCGACGAUCCGUAGCUGGUCUGAGAGGACGAUCAGCCACACUGGGACUGAGACACGGCCCAGACUCCUACGGGAGGCAGCAGUGGGGAAUCUUGCGCAAUGGGCGAAAGCCUGACGCAGCGACGCCGCGUGGGGGAAGAAGGCUUUCGGGUUGUAAACCCCUUUCAGGAGAGACGAAGCUACUCGGGUUAAUAGCCCAGAGGGUGACGGUAUCUUCAGAAGAAGCCCCGGCUAACUACGCGCCAGCAGCCGCGGU